ACUCCUACGGGAGGCAGCAGUGGGGAAUCUUGGACAAUGGGGCAACCCGUGCAUCCAGCCAUGCCGCGUGAGUGAUGAAGGCCUUAGGGUCGUAAAGCUCUUUCGCCUGUGAAGAUAAUGACGGUAGCAGGUAAAGAAACCCCGCGUACAUCCGUGCCAGCAGCCGCGGUAAUACGGAGGGGGUUAGCGUUGUUCGGAAUUACUGGGCGUAAAGCGCACGUAGGCGGAUCGGAAAGUUGGGGGUGAAAUCCCGGGGCUCAA
rnacentral:rRNA from 1 species